rnacentral:rRNA from 1 species
CGAGCGAAUGGAUUAAGAGCUUGCUCUUAUGAAGUUAGCGGCGGACGGGUGAGUAACACGUGGGUAACCUGCCCAUAAGACUGGGAUAACUCCGGGAAACCGGGGCUAAUACCGGAUAACAUUUUGAACCGCAUGGUUCGAAAUUGAAAGGCGGCUUCGGCUGUCACUUAUGGAUGGACCCGCGUCGCAUUAGCUAGUUGGUGAGGUAACGGCUCACCAAGGCAACGAUGCGUAGCCGACCUGAGAGGGUGAUCGGCCACACUGGGACUGAGACACGGCCCAGACUCCUACGGGAGGCAGCAGUAGGGAAUCUUCCGCAAUGGACGAAAGUCUGACGGAGCAACGCCGCGUGAGUGAUGAAGGCUUUCGGGUCGUAAAACUCUGUUGUUAGGGAAGAACAAGUGCUAGUUGAAUAAGCUGGCACCUUGACGGUACCUAACCAGAAAGCCACGGCUAACUACGUGCCAGCAGCCGCGGUAAUACGUAGGUGGCAAGCGUUAUCCGGAAUUAUUGGGCGUAAAGCGCGCGCAGGUGGUUUCUUAAGUCUGAUGUGAAAGCCCACGGCUCAACCGUGGAGGGUCAUUGGAAACUGGGAGACAUGAGUGCAGAAGAGGAAAGUGGAAUUCCAUGUGUAGCGGUGAAAUGCGUAGAAUAUGGAGGAACACCAGUGGCGAAGGCGACUUUCUGGUCUGUUACUGACGC